GGUAAACCCUACCAUUUGCCGGAACCCAGAAACAGAGGAAAAAUAAUGCUUUCGUCUAGAAUCUUGAACAACAUUUCCAAGAGAAAGCCUAGCUCCUCCUCCUUCUCAUUGGGGUAUGGUUACCCCGAGAGUCACUUAGUUUUACGGCAGCACCGUUCGAUCUUCACCACGUCGCCUGUCCAUGCCUCAUGGAUGGACUCGAUCAAAGGAGUCUUCACCGGGAAGAAGACCUCCACGGAUGACUCCAAAACCAGUGCUGAAUCCUUCACUCUCCUCCGAUUUGCUGAUGAGUUGAAGAAUGCUAGAAAAUUAGGGACAUUUAAGCAAUACAUAGUCGGUAGAAGCAGCGAAGCCACGUUUGCUGAUGCUUUCGAGAAACAAGAAGCCAUCAUUAGGUAUCUUGGAGGUUGUGAUCCGACCGGAGAGAAUGUUCAAACAAGUCAAAAAAAAGAAGCUGCGAAGCAAUGUGAUUGUACAAUAGCAGAUGUUGAGAAUGCGCUUGCAAAGUUUACUUGGGCUAAAGAAGCACAUAAGAAGAUGGCUAAGUUGAAAGCGGAAGGGAAACCGAUGCCGAAGAGCAUUGCUGAGGUGCAAAAGCUAAUGGGUUCAACACCAUUGGAUCUUGCCAGGUCUAACUUGGCAAAGAGUGGGCAAAUAAGCAGGAAUGCACUUUGUCCAUGUGGUUCAAAGAAGAGAUAUAAAAGGUGUUGUGGCAAGGAUCAAUAGAUUCAAAAAGAAAAUGGAUGAGAAUCCUACACCAGCCUUGAAUCCUCAAACUGGUAGAAUCUGCAUGCAGUUGCAAAUGACAUCAUUUCAUGGCUCUCUUGGUUCAUUUUUCUCAAUCGGACAACAUUGCCUGAUCAAAAGAUGAGAAAAUGGUGUCUAUGGCAGAAGGAAAGGAAUGCCACAAAGCUGGGGAUCGCAAUGGAAGUAAUCUUUGUCAAGAAGAUUGCAAGAGCAAGUACAAUAUCAAUGUUUGACAUGUCUGAUAUUAGUUUCCAUAUGAACUAACUUGAGACUUGAACAAAUGAAAAAGUUCUAUCUUUAAAUGGAUUCUUUUCAAAUGCUAAUGGGGUUGCACUUAAAGGCAAAGGGAUUAAGGAAACUUAUUAACAUGACCAAAUUGGAAGGGAUUUAAGUUGAAAAUUUGUGGAUUCCUCUCUCCCCAACUGACUUUUCUUUGGAAUCUCUUAAAGUCAUCAAAUGCUUUC